AGAGAUAUAUAAAAAUAAAAGCAUGAAAAUAAGCUUUUCAACUUAGCAAUGUCUUCAAAUAUUAACCUAACCUAAAUAUUUCCGAUUAAUACUUUCAACAAUAUUAUCAACAUUUUCUUUUCAAUAAUCAACCAAUCAAAACUUCCUCACAAGACAGAAAAAAAUCUCUCAAAAUCAUAAACGAAGCUAUUUGUUAAAGAGUGACAAUUUUCAACGAACACAACUCGACAAUAAACCGAGGGCCGGCCCUGGAAUCGGUUGCCUGUUGGAAAUACCAGCACGUAUCGGCACUAGAGGCACACUCGCACACUGCACUUCUGCAUGGCGGAGUACGAACGGACGAACACAGUCGGCUGGAAUACGAAUGCUGUGACCCGAGUAAAUAUAUGCGAUGCGCGCCGCUUCCUUGUAAACAAGGGCUGCUAAAUGCCGUGAAGUGGCUCUCCGACUCGGGUCGAGGCCGCGUUCCAAACUUCUCCGUACAACCGUCGCGUCCUCUACUAUCCUGCGAGAACUCUCAAACACUGCGAUGCAACUCGAACGAGUUUCCGCUAUUGUCAGCUCAACUCUGUAGUCUGUUGCUACUCGCCUGCUAAUUUGAUUAUUCCAACCCGAUUCGACGAUGCGGUUUCAUGGCGCCGGCUGUUUCUUCACCUGACAUUCUCCAUCGCUUCUCUUUUACAUUGCAGUUAUGUUGGAUCUUCGACGCAAUCAAUUAAAAGGAACGAUAAUCGUUUUGUGUAAAAUAAAAGAAUUAAUUUUUCGAAUACGAUUCAAUUUAAAUUAAUCUUUUGUUAUGUUAUAGUAGUGGAUCUAUGAUAAAUUCUAUUGUCUAAAUUACUAUUUUUAAACUAACUAUAUUAAAUCUUCGACACAAUGAAUUAAAAGGAAAUAAAACAACGUUUAAAAGGAACAAUAGUGGUUUUCUUUGCAUAAAAAAGGAUUAAUAUUUUAAGUUAUGUUGGAUAUUCGACAAGAUGAAUUAAGUUAAAAUUAAG